rnacentral:snRNA from 1 species
ACAUGUACAUAUAUAUUUAUAUAUAAUUUGUUCAAAAAAAUCUGUUCCUAUCAGUUUAAUAUCUGAUCAGUGCCCGAUCUGAGGACCAUAUAUUGAAUUGAUGCUUGGAACAGGGAGAUGGAAUAGGGGCUUGGUCCCUCCACUCCACACAUGGACCUGGUAUUGCAGGGUUUCCAGGCACACAGCACUCCUU